rnacentral:rRNA from 1 species
UAAGUUUGAUGGCGACCGGCGCACGGUGAGUAACACGUAUCCAACCUGCCGAUGACUCGGGGAUAGCCUUUCGAAAGAAAGAUUAAUACCCGAUGGCAUAGUUCUUCCGCAUGGUGGAACUAUUAAAGAAUUUCGGUCAUCGAUGGGGAUGCGUUCCAUUAGGUUGUUGGCGGGGUAACGGCCCACCAAGCCUUCGAUGGAUAGGGGUUCUGAGAGGAAGGUCCCCCACAUUGGAACUGAGACACGGUCCAAACUCCUACGGGAGGCAGCAUG